rnacentral:rRNA from 1 species
GAAGGCCUACUACGUGCAUGUCGAGCGAACUGUUUAAAUCUUGCUUCUAUGACGUUAGCGGCGGAGGGGUGAGUAACACGUGGGCAACCUGCCUGAAAGACUGGGAUAACUCCGGGAAACCGGAUCUAAUACCGGAUAAUUUUUUCUCUUGCAUAAAAAAAAAUUGAAAGAUGGUUUCGGCUAUCACUUACAGAUGGGCCCGCGGUGCAUUAGCUAGUUGGAGAGGUAACGGCUCCCCAAGGCAACGAUGCAUACCCCACCUGAGAGGGUGAUCGGCCACACUGGGACUGACACACGGCCCACACUCCUACGGGAGGCAGCAGUAGGGAAUCUUCCGCAGUGGACAAAAGUCUGACGGAACAACGCCGCGUGAGUGAAGAAGGUUUUCGGGUCAAAAAACUCUGUUGUUAGGGAAAAACAAGUACAAGAGUAACUGCUUGUCCCUUGACGGUACCUAACCAGAAAGCCACGGCUAACUACGUGCCACCAGCCGCGGUAAUACGUAGGUGGCAAGCGUUAUCCGAAAUUAUUGGGCGUAAAGCGCGCGCAGGCGUUUUCUUAUCUCUGAUGUGAACCCCCACGGCUCAACCGUGGAGGGUCUGUGGAAACUGGAGAACUUGAGUGCAAAAGAAAAAAGCGGACUUCCGCGUGUAGCGGAGAAAUGCGUAGAGAUGGGGAAAAAACACCAGUGGAGAACGCGUUUUUUUGGUCUGUAUGUGACUCUGAGGCGCGAAAGCGUGGGGAAAACACACGAUUAUAUACCGUGGUACUCCACGCCAUAAAAA